rfam:Myotis lucifugus cont2.31678, whole genome shotgun sequence.
GGUGGUUCUCGGGUGAUGCACCCUGGAAUCGGGCUCCUUCCUCUCUGGUUCUGGGUGCAUCACCUGAGAACUGCA